AUUGGAUCCAGACUUUGAUUAUGGCUCAGGAUGAACGCUAGCUACAGGCUUAACACAUGCAAGUCGAGGGGAAACGAUAGAGAAAGCUUGCUUUUUCUAGGCGUCGACCGGCGCACGGGUGAGUAACGCGUAUCCAACCUGCCCAUCACUUGGGGAUAACCUUGCGAAAGUAAGACUAAUACCCAAUGAUAUCUCAAGAAGACAUCUGAAUGAGAUUAAAGAUUUAUCGGUGAUGGAUGGGGAUGCGUCUGAUUAGCUUGUUGGCGGGGUAACGGCCCACCAAGGCUACGAUCGGUAGGGGUUCUGAGAGGAAGGUCCCCCACAUUGGAACUGAGACACGGUCCAAACUCCUACGGGAGGCAGCAGUGAGGAAUAUUGGUCAAUGGGCGAGAGCCUGAACCAGCCAAGUAGCGUGCAGGAUGACGGCCCUAUGGGUUGUAAACUGCUUUUAUAAGGGAAUAAAGUGAGUCUCGUGAGACUUUUUGCAUGUACCUUAUGAAUAAGGACCGGCUAAUUCCGUGCCAGCAGCCGCGGUAAUACGGAAGGUCCGGGCGUUAUCCGGAUUUA
rnacentral:rRNA from 1 species